AUGACCAGCGUCACUGCGAGCCAGCCCCUGCUGCACGCUGCUCCCUCGGGCCAGCCCCGGCUGCCUGCCCCGCCCCGGGCCAUCGGGGGCCUCUGGGGGCGCCCUGGAGCCAGCCACCGCGUCUCGGCUCUGUCAUUUAAGAGACUUAGCAGCAGUCCCUUCCCCACUUGGUCCUGGGAGGCUGGUGACUUCAGUGAGAACAGAGAGCCGGGGCUUCAGGCAUGGGCUCUGCGGAUCAGCCCCCUUCCAAAAAGCCUGAAAAGUAAGAUGCUGCCCACCGCCCAUCACCAUCAGCCCUUCACCCCCAGGCAAGGCGCCAGAACCCCAGAAGGAGGGUGGAACGCUGCCAACUUUUUUCCAGGAGCUGGCAGGGUGGCCCAUGGUUGCCCUUGGUUCCACUCGGGCCAUCCGGGUCCCACGGCANGGUCGGGUCAAGGGCAGGACCACAGCCACCGCAGAUGGAAAGGCAGCCAGUGCCUGGGGCAGCUGGUACCAGCCUUGUGCCCUGAGCCAGAGGAAGCGGUGUCUGGGCAUGGAGAGGCAGGGAGACGUUGGGGGCAGUCUCCGUGCCCCUCACACCAGGCCCCCUCCCGCCGUCAGCCCCUGGGCCUGCCCCAGCUGUUGUGCCAUCCCUUCUCAAGAGGCACCGGCCCGCUGAGCUGAGGGGCCUUUCCCCAGGCCAGCCUCCGUGCCGGGCAGGCCGGUUCCAGUCGGGGCAGCCACCUCCUAGCCGAGCUGUCAGAGAGCAGUUCAUGUUCUCUGGGCUCCAGUGUCCUUGCUGAAAGUGUGGGCAGGCUCUGGCCCGUCCCGUGUCCAGACUCUUCCCCUUUGCUUUGCCCUGGAGUCCUCGGUCUGGAUGUGUCUGCUGCGGUAGCUCCAGGCCUGCUGACGAGGGACAGGGACCUGCUGCCCGAGGUCCUCACCGUCUGAACCCAUCCCCUCCUGCCCAGCUGGAGGUCCUGAUGCAUUAGCAUCCUCAGGCCGGUCUAAUGUCACAUCUGAUUCCCGCCCCCAGGCCCAGCACAGAGUUCCCGGGCGGAACGGGGCUGCAGAAGGCAGGACCCCAGGCUCUGGGAGGGCCUGGGGCCCCGGGCAGGCCCACUGCUGCCCCCACCCUCCGCCACACUGACUGACACAGAGCCAGGCCCCGCUCUGGGCUCCACGGGACCCGCGCCCAGCUGAGGACACUGCACGGAGCCCAGGGCUGUGUCCAGGGCUGGGGCCCACCUGGGGUGCCCGUUCUGUGGGCAUGCAGGUGGGUGAAGACCGCCUCCCUCCUGGGCACGUCUCCUGGCUGACCCAGGUGGGCGGGUCUAGGCACCUCCUUUCCCGGUUUUCCCAGCAGACUUUGCCCCGAAUGCCUGCCUGAGUUUCCUUGUGGUCUUCACUUCCUGCUCCAGACUCAGCGGGCAGCACCUCCUCGGUGGAAGCCGCGUCCGCCUGUCUCGACCCUGGACCUCCUCUCUCCCCGCCCUCCCUUCCUCCCCAGGCGAGGUCAGCCUUGGGGGAGGCAGAGCUCCUAGGGUGAGUAUCAAGACCCUAGCUCCCUGAAAGCAGGUGUCGGGGCAGGACGUCCUGGGCAGGAGGCAGGACGGGGCCAGCCAGGCCAGGGCUGAGACUCUCAGACGCUCCAGGCCCUUUUUCCUGUCUGUCUAUCUCUCUCUCUCCAUUCACAAGCAUGCCCGGCUCAGUGCCCCAUGUCUGCCUCAUCUGGUUCUACUGAAUUUCUUUUUCUUCCCUAAUAUUCAACAGAUUCAUCCUAGCUUUUACUGCCUUUUGAAAUGAAGGGAGAAGUCACUUUGUUCCCGAGGAUCCUCUAGGCUUUUAUGACCCCAACACUCGGCCUUGGACAUGGUUGCUCCAUCAGACGCAGUCUUUUCUAGCUUUGAGGACAAGCUUUGUAGGCAGGCAGGGCCCGCCAGUCCGCCGAGUGCUCAGCUCUGCAGCCCUGGGUCCUAUCCCUCCCCUCCCAGGGCCCUCUCCUCACAGGGGAGCCAGAGGCGGCCGUGGGUUCUGGCCGCAGCCCGGGGCGGGUCUGGUCUGUGCAGUGACCUUCAGGCCGUUCCCCUGAUUCGCAGCAGGUGCGGGCUGCUGGGCCCGGACAGCGCGGCCCUGAGAAUCACAUGGGAGCCGGCUUGCUCGGGGCCCCUCAGACCGUGGAGGGGAGGCUUUGGUUUGCUCAGGAGCACGCCUGUGCACAAUGUCCCAACUCCCCCAUCCCCUGUACAAAGGGCGGCCAGGGCCCGGCCUCGGGUGCCUGGGACUCCUGGUCCUUCACAAGCCACCCAGGAGGUGAGGCUGCUCGCGAGGCUCCAGCACUGGGUUGGGCGGACCCCUGAGGGUCCCCUGCAGGGUCCGGAGCCUGGGCAGGAGUGACGCUGGGGCAUGGCAUGUGUGCGUCCUGUGGGCUCAGCCCUCAGCCCUAGCCCCGUGGAGGGGACCCGCCGGCAUCGGCACAGCUCUGUCCACCACCUUGCUUCCCUGACCUGUUCAUUCUGAAGCCGCUCCGUGAGCUCGUGAGGAUGAGACCUUGGGCAUCCCUGCCCUCCAGGUAGGCAGGACGGUGUGCACAAGUUCACCAGAGGCCUGGCAGUGAGGUGACAGAUGACAGGGGUCUCACAAGGUCACCAGAAAGGCUUGACAGUGAUCUAACAGACGACAUGGGGUCUGCACACAGGUCACCCAGAGAGGCCUGGCAGCGGGGUGACAGACGACGCGGGGGCGGGNNNNNNNNNNNNNNNGGGGGUGGGUGGUCUUCGACUUGCCUGGGGUAGCCAGCUGCAGGGCAGGGCUGGGAGGCACCCUCAGUGCCUGGAGCUCUCCAUGCCUGCGGGGAGUGGCCUGGGGCACAUGGAGAGAAGGGUGGAGGUGAGGCCUCAGGCUGAGGGAGGAGCUUGCUCUCAAGUUUUGAGCAGGGCCAGGUGUGUGCCUGUUUGACAGGCACAGGUGUUUGUCUGGUUGAAGUCUCAGGAAGGACUGGAGGGAGGGCCUGGCCAGAAGGCUGCUACAUUCUUCCAAGGAAGACAGCAGGGCCUCCUGCUGGCAGCCGGCGAGGGGUGAGGGUCGAGGGAGCGGGCUGAGCUGCGGUUCCCCGGAAGCAGAGCUCACGCUGCAACACUUGCUCAAUCAGGCUGGCUGCGCAGAGACCGCCGCAGGGAGCGCCGGGGCCCUCCAGCCCAGGAUCAUGGUGCGGCUUUUCGUUUCUGAGAUCUUUAUUUCUCUCAGAAAUGUUUUGUAGUUUUGAGCAUGCUGGUUUCCAUUCCUACUGUGCUGACAGUUUCUAUCAUAAAUGAGUGUGGAAUUUUGUAGAAUGAUUUUUUUGCUUCUAUUGAGAGGAUUACAAUGGCACCCCACUCCAGUACUCCUGCCUGGAAAAUCCCAUGGANNNNNNNNNNNNNNNNNNNNNNNNNNNNNNNNNNNNNNNNNNNNNNNNNNNNNNNNNNNNNNNNNNNNNNNNNNNNNNNNNNNNNNNNNNNNNNNNNNNNNNNNNNNNNNNNNNNNNNNNNNNNNNNNNNNNNNNNNNNNNNNNNNNNNNNNNNNNNNNNNNNNNGGGUCGCACAGAGUCGGACACGACUGAAGCAGCUUAGCAGCGGCAGCAGCAGAGAGGAUUAUACGUUCUCUUUUGUUUCAUUGGAAUAGUGAAUCACACAGAUUGACAGUCUCAUGUCAGAAUACGCUCGGUAGUCCUGGGAUGCUCGUGGCCGGUGGAUUGCUUGCUCUCUGCACGGGAGGCUUCGGUCAGCUAAUUCUUCUGUUUCGGCCGUGCUGGUCCUCNNNNNNNNNNNNNNNNNNNNNNNGUCGCGAUUCCUGGGCUUAGUUGCCCCAAAGCGCUUGGGCUCUACCUCGCCAGCCAGGCCCUGAGCCGAGUCCGCUGCACUGAAAGCUGAGUUCUUAGUCUGGGCCACCAGGGAGCCCCCGCUGGCAUCUUACCCAGGAUCUCUGUGUCUGCGCUCAGGCGUGAUGUCGAUCUGUAGUUUCCUUGUAAUAGAAUCUUUGUCUGAUUUUUUUUAAAAAAAUGUUUAUCUGUGUAUUUGGCGGCACUGGGCUUUAGUGGCGGCACAUGGGCUUUUUAGUUGUGGCAUGUGGGCCUGAGCUCCCUGACCAGGAGUCAAGCCCGAGUCCCCUGCGCUGGACACAGAGUCCUAACCG
rnacentral:lncRNA from 1 species